rnacentral:sRNA from 1 species
UCAAAACAUAUGAACAUCUUGUUGAAAUGGAGAAAGGCAAUAAGGCAAACAAAAGAAUAGACACUCCAGAUGAAUAGAGUACAUGAUUUAGUGGACAGUACAGAUUUUAAUGAUCAAGAUUUUGAACUAAAGCCAAUGGCAGAUUGACAAUGUCAAACUUGCAACAUCAAAUACAAGUGAAGAUGGCCCUAAUGCUGAAGACAUUCUUAAGGAAGCUCUAAAAAGAUUGAUGCCUCUUCGGAAAUCCACAAAGACGUGAUGAAAGCAUUGUAAAAGCUAGUGACAAUCCACAGUUGUAUUCUUACGUGGCUUGAAUGUUAUAAAUGUCAAGAAAGCAAAUUAGGUAAAAACUAUACAUUUUAUUGACAAGCUUAUGUUAGACUUAGAAAAUAUAUUUUUUUAAUUGCUUAUUCUUUAGAAUGGGAGAAUACUUCAAUAUAGGGACUCAAACAUUAUGAGCAGCUGUUAGUUUUUAAUUAUGCUUAUGAAAGGAAUGGGAAUGACAGAGAGACAGUGUGGGCUAAUAAAAAUGGUGCUCAGGUGUAUUGUUUUGUAAUAAAGAAUCGUUUCAUAGCUUUUCAGGUACUGCUAGUUAGAAUGCUAUGUAACAUUAUAAUGAGUUUGUAAUAAUUAUAAUUCAUUGUGUUAUAUAUUUGUAUUUAUAUUUAUUUGUAA